AGCUAGAUAUGGUCACUCGAUAAAUGAUGAGAAGUAAUUCUAUGUCUCAAGAGGGGAAGGGUUUGAGGUCAGUUGGUUUGAUAAAGGCCCUAUAAAGCAAUCCGGCUGUCCACUUAUAUCUACUAAAUAUUAAAUACCUGUCUAUUAAGGGAAGAGUGGCACACAAGGUAGAGUUUGAAACAUUUCACUCUUUAUUCUUUAUAGAUAGUUACUUUGAAGAAUGAAGGGAAAACUACAUUCCUACGAUACCAUCAUUUUGAGAUGCAGAGGUCCAUCGGAGCUUCACUCUUCAUCAUGUCCUUUCUGAAGACGGAUCAAUAUUAGUAGAUAGUAAAGUCACCAUACAGAAUCCUGUUGGGGAAUCCCUUCCUGCAGAUUCUGAUGCCUUCCAGCACACCGUUACAGCGCAGCUGGUGCAUGACCAGAGGGUUCUCCAUGGCCCCAGGAGUCUUGGUCUCGUUGGGGAUGAGGCAACGCACAAAGUGGGGGUGAG